rnacentral:rRNA from 1 species
CCUACGGGAGGCAGCAGUGGGGGAUAUUGGACAAUGGGGGGAACCCUGAUCCAGCGACGCCGCGUGAGUGAAGAAGUAUUUCGGUAUGUAAAGCUCUGUCAUCCGGGAAGAAAGCAAUGACGGUCCCUGACCACGAAGCCCCGGCUAACUACGUGCCAGCAGCCGCGGUAAUACGUAGGGGGCAAGAGUUAUCCGGAAUUACUGGGAGUAAAGGGAGCGUAGACGGCUGUGCAAGUCUGGAGUGAAAGGCGUGGGCCCAGCCCCCGGACUGCUCUGGAAACUGUAUGGCUGGAGGGCAGGAGAGGUAAGCAGAAUUCCGAGGGUAGCGGUGAAAUGCGUAGAUAUUAGGAGGAACACCAGUGGCGAAGGCGGCUUACUGGACUGUAACUGACGUUGAGGCUCGAAAGCGUGGGGAGCAAACAGGAUUAGAUACCCUUGUAGUC